ensembl:snRNA U6 U6 spliceosomal RNA
UUGCUUCAGCAGCACAUAUACAAAAAAAAUUUGGAAUGAUAAAGAGAUUAGCAUAGCACCUGCGCAAGUAUAACAUGCAAAUUCAUGAAGCAUGCCAUAAUUUU